rnacentral:rRNA from 1 species
GCGGCGCACGGAUGCGUAACACGUGGGUAAUCUGCCCUGGAGUCCGGAAUAACUCGCCGAAAGGCGUGCUAAUGCCGGAUGAGACCACGGGGACUUCGGUCUUCGCGGAAAAAGGUGGCCUCUGUACACAAGCUAUCACUCCAGGAUGAGCCCGCGGCCCAUCAGCUAGUUGGCGGGGUAAUGGCCCACCAAGGCUACGACGGGUAGCUGGUCUGAGAGGACGAUCAGCCACACUGGAACUGAGACACGGUCCAGACUCCUACGGGAGGCAGCAGUGGGAAUCUUGCGCAAUGGGCGAAAGCCUGACGCAGCAACGCCGCGUGUGUGAUGAAGGUCUUCGGAUCGUAAAGCACUGUCGCGAGGGACG